rnacentral:rRNA from 1 species
UUACCGCGGCUGCUGGCACGAAGUUAGCCGGUGCUUAUUCUGUUGGUAACGUCAAAACAGUAAGGUAUUAACUUACUGCCCUUCCUCCCAACUUAAAGUGCUUUACAAUCCGAAGACCUUCUUCACACACGCGGCAUGGCUGGAUCAGGCUUUCGCCCAUUGUCCAAUAUUCCCCACUGCUGCCUCCCGUAGGAGUCUGGACCGUGUCUCAGUUCCAGUGUGACUGAUCAUCCUCUCAGACCAGUUACGGAUCGUCGCCUUGGUAGGCCUUUACCCCACCAACUAGCUAAUCCGACCUAGGCUCAUCUGAUAGCGUGAGGUCCGAAGAUCCCCCACUUUCUCCCUCAGGACGUAUGCGGUAUUAGCGCCCGUUUCCGGACGUUAUCCCCCACUACCAGGCAGAUUCCUAGGCAUUACUCACCCGUCCGCCGCUGAAUCCAGGAGCAAGCUCCCUUCAUCCGCUCGACUUGCAUGUGUUAGGCCUGCCGCCAGCGUUCAAUCUGAGCCAGGAUCAAACCCUG